rnacentral:rRNA from 1 species
GACAGAGGUGCCAAGCGUUAGGCGGAAUCACUGGGCUUAAAGCGUGUGUAGGCGGAUGUCUAAGUACCUUGUGAAAUCCCACGGCUCAACCGUGGAGCUGCUUGGUAUACUGGAUGUCUUGAGCCAUCUAGGGGCUACCGGAACAAAUGGUGGAGCGGUGAAAUGCGUAGAUAUCAGGAGGAACACCGGUGGCGAAGGCGGUUCUCUGGGCCUGUACUGACGCUGAGGAGCGAAAGCGUGGGGAGCGAACAGG